AUUGGAGUCUGCAACCCGACUCCAUGAAGCUGGAUUCGCUAGUAAUCGCGCAUCAGCCACGGCGCGGUGAAUACGUUCCCGGGCCUUGUACACACCGCCCGUCAAGCCAUGGAAGCCGGGAGUGCCUGAAGUGCGUGACCGCAAGGAGCGUCCUAAGGCAAUACCGGUGACUGGGGCUAAGUCGUAACAAGGUAAC
rnacentral:rRNA from 1 species